rnacentral:rRNA from 1 species
GACGUAGGUGGCGAACGUUAUCCGGAAUUAUUGGGCGUAAAGGGUGCGUAGAUGGCUUAGUAAGUUGGCGGUGGGAAAUCGAGGCUCAACCUCGUGGAAGCCGACAAUACUAUUAAGCUUGAGUACAGGAGAGGUUAAUGGAACUCCAUGUGGAGCGGUAAAAUGCGUAGAGAUCGGAAAGAACACCAACGGCGAAAGCACUCUGCUGGGCCGACACUGACACUGAGAGACGAAAGCUAGGGGAGCGAAUGGG